rnacentral:rRNA from 1 species
AACGAACGCUGGCGGCAUGCCUAACACAUGCAAGUCGAACGAGACCUUCGGGUCUAGUGGCGCACGGGUGCGUAACGCGUGGGAACCUGCCCUUAGGUUGGGAAGAACUCCCCGAAUGGGGUGCUAAUACCGGAUAAUGUCUUCGGACCAAAGAUUUAUCGCCUUUGGAUGGGCCCGCGUUGGAUUAGCUAGUUGGUAGGGUAAAAGCCUACCAAGGCGACGAUCCAUAGCUGGUUUGAGAGGAUGGUCAGCCACACUGGGACUGAGACACGGCCCAGACUCCUACGGGAGGCAGCAGUGGGGAAUAUUGGACAAUGGGCGGAGGCCUGAUCCAGCAAUGCCGCGUGAGUGAUGAAGGCCUUAGGGUUGUAAAGCUCUUUUACCCGGGAUGAUAAUGACAGUACCGGGAGAAUAAGCUCCGGCUAACUCCGUG